GCCGAGACCUGCAAAAGGAAAAAAACCGGGUCCGUAGGUCGGGUAAGGAUUGUUCGCCCCAUACCCAGGACCCGAACCACUCUGACCCGGGAAGGACCAGUUCGCCCUGUAUCCAGGACCCGCUCCAGGUAUGUGCGAUGAGCUUUCCUCUAGCCCACCGAUCCUUCCGGGGUUGAUUUGAGGUGAAUUAUGUGUCGAACCUCCUUGAUUUGGUUGGAUUGAUACAGGUACCCACUGAACGUAUGGUCCUGUGGGGGGAUUUCCAGGAUUGAAUCCUGUGUUGAGCUAUGCAGUCUGCACGAGGCUUGUUUGACUUUCUGAUGGAUUUAUCUGUCGUUCUGCAGGGAUGACUUGUGGAUUUCCCUCAAUCCCCACAGAAACGCCGGA
rnacentral:lncRNA from 1 species